GAACGCACAUUGCGCCCCUUGGUUAUUCCGAAGGGCAUGCCUGUUCGAGCGUCAUUAUCACCCCUCAAGCCCUGGCUUGGUGUUGGACUUUAGUUAUAGCUUUGCCUAUCAACUGGUCUCAAAGAUAGUGACGGCGCCCCAGAGGGAACCGGGUACGAGGAGCUUUUUACUAAGCAUGUAUCUGGGACGACUCUGAUGGGCGACGGUCUUGUUAUACUUUUUACCUAAGUGUUGACCUCGGAUCAGGUAGGAAUACCCGCUGAACUUAAG
rnacentral:misc_RNA from 1 species